UUUAACAUGAGAGUUUGAUCCUGGCUCAGGAUGAACGCUGGCGGCGUGCUUAACACAUGCAAGUCGAACGAAGCAAUUUAGCGGAAGUUUUCGGAU
rnacentral:rRNA from 1 species